GGUCUGGGCCUCGAGGCCAGGCCAGAAGGACCAGGGGCUGGAAACUCAUCUUCAGGGCUCCCAAGCUGCUGCGGAGAUAGACAGCGGGCUGUGGAUGGGAAGGAGACUAGAAUAUUCUGAGACAGGGUCGGGUGGGAGCUGGGAGAGGUAAUGUCAAAUUGUUGCCUAAGAGGCAGCUCAGCUCCAGUGACCACACCAGGACAGUUUAAGACCGGGAGCGGAACCAGGGAGGUUGUUUUUGGUAACUGGGGGCCUGGGUUUGAGUUCCUUGACCAGCAGGAGGUGCUUGGAUUUAGGGAGGCUCUAAUCGCAUGGACGAAGAACCCCGAGUUGUCUGGCGGCCUUUCACAGUAUCCGACCGGGGCGUCCUGGACCGCCGACAGCUCUAUCUGACCACCUCGGCCCGGCCCGGGACUUUCGGUUCUAUCCCAAGACGGAGCUGUCUCUAUACCCUCGCAAAGACUCCCUGAUCUACUGGAGCUUCGAAGAGACGCCCUAACUCU